UAACUGGUCUGAGAGGAUGAUCAGUCACACUGGAACUGAGACACGGUCCAGACUCCUACGGGAGGCAGCAGUAGGGAAUAUUGCUCAAUGGGGGAAACCCUGAAGCAGCAACGCCGCGUGGAGGAUGACACUUUUCGGAGCGUAAACUCCUUUUGUUAGGGAAGAACAAUGACGGUACCUAACGAAUAAGCACCGGCUAACUCCGUGCCAGCAGCCGCGGUAAUACGGAGGGUGCAAGCGUUACUCGGAAUCACUGGGCGUAAAGGACGCGUAGGCGGAUUAUCAAGUCUCUUGUGAAAUCCUAUGGCUUAACCAUAGAACUGCUUGGGAAACUGAUAAUCUAGAGUGAGGGAGAGGCAGAUGGAAUUGGUGGUGUAGGGGUAAAAUCCGUAGAGAUCACCAGGAAUACCCAUUGCGAAGGCGAUCUGCUGGAACUCAACUGACGCUAAUGCGUGAAAGCGUGGGGAGCAAACAGGAUUAGAUACCCUGGUAGUCCACGCCCUAAACGAUGUAUACUAGUUGUUGCUAAGCUAGUCUUGGCAGUAAUGCACCUAACGGAUUAAGUAUACCGCCUGGGGAGUACGGUCGCAAGAUUAAAACUCAAAGGAAUAGACGGGGACCCGCACAAGCGGUGGAGCAUGUGGUUUAAUUCGAAGAUACGCGAAGAACCUUACCCGGACUUGAUAUCUAACAAAUCAUCCAGAGAUGGAAGAGUGUCUGCUUGCAGAAAUGUUAAGACAGGUGCUGCACGGCUGUCGUCAGCUCGUGUCGUGAGAUGUUGGGUUAAGUCCCGCAACGAGCGCAACCCACGUCAUUAGUUGCUAACAGUUCGGCUGAGCACUCUAAUGAGACUGCCUUCGUAAGGAGGAGGAAGGUGUGGACGACGUCAAGUCAUCAUGGCCCUUAUGUCCGGGGCGACACACGUGCUACAAUGGCAUAUACAAUGAGAAGCAAUAUCGCGAGAUGGAGCAAAUCUAUAAAAUAUGUCCCAGUUCGGAUUGGAGUCUGCAACUCGACUCCAUGAAGCCGGAAUCGCUAGUAAUCGUAGAUCAGCCAUGCUACGGUGAAUACGUUCCCGGGUCUUGUACUCACCGCCCGUCACACCAUGGGAGUUGAUUUCACUCGAAGCCCAAAUACCAAACCGGUUAUGGUCCACAGUGGAAUCAGCGACUGGGGUGAAGUCGUAACAAGGUAACCGUAGGAGAACCUGCGGUUG
rnacentral:rRNA from 1 species